ACGCUCGACACCUACGGGAGGUAGCAGUGGGGAAUAUUGCACAAUGGGGGAAACCCUGAUGCAGCAACGCCGCGUGAAGGAAGAAGGUUUUCGGAUCGUAAACCUCUAUCAAUAGGGAAGAAAGAAAUGACGGUACCUAAAUAAGAAGCCCCGGCUAACUACGUGCCAACAGCCGCGGUAAUCUGAGCGGGCUGGCAAGGC
rnacentral:rRNA from 1 species